AAGUCGUAACAAGGUUUCCGUAGGUGAACCUGCGGAAGGAUCAUUAAUAAACUACGCCUGGGGUUGUGUGAAAGCAUAGCCUCCAGUGUUGUAUAUUAACCACCUGUUUACUAUUACCAGUUGCUUCCGUGGAAUAUGGGUUCUCUUUCUGUUCGCAGCAUAGAGUUACCUUCCACGGGUGUUUUAAAAAAUUGUCAUUGCUGAAUUGUCUGAAAAAAAAUUAAUAAAGUUAAAACUUUCAACAACGGAUCUCUAGGUUCUC
rnacentral:misc_RNA from 1 species